rnacentral:lncRNA from 1 species
UUGAGCCUAGUUACUUCGUGAUUGGACAAUGUUUGUCAAAUAAAAACGAAAGUGCUAUAGUAGUCAAAAAUCAAAGUUUUUCGAACUAAACAAGGCCUAGUUGAAAAUAAUGUUUUUUAAUUUAUUAUGAGGUGAAAACACUAUUAAAUAGCUAAGAAAAACUCUUUGUCCUGCUACAAUAAUAUAAUUUAUCGUACUGUACUAGCAUGCAUGCUACAAUAAUAUAAUCCAUGGUACUGUACCAUAUAUAUAUAGUUGCUGAAAAGCUUGAGCCACACGAGUGCGGUGCCCGUGCCACCAAAUGGGGUUAUAAACUAGCCACGGCGCCUGCACAUCGAGCCACUAGUUUGAUCACCUAACCCCCUC